UCUUAAGUACAUUCCUACAACAUAGUGUUACUGCACUGGAUCCCAUUAGAACUUCAUAGUUAAGCAUGUUUGGGCUAGAGUAGUACUAGGAUGGGUGACCGCCCAGGAAUUCCUAGUGUUUUACAUGC
rfam:Picea glauca, whole genome shotgun sequence.